UGGAGUUAUGUUUGUAACCUGCCCUAUGUUUGACAGCCACACUUUAGGAUAGUCAGACAGGGCAUCUCCAGAAGAAGAUUGAGGGGCUUUACCUCAGUGUGAACCAGAGGAAACACUACCUGUACUGUUUGACAGAAUGUCAAAAGACUGAAGGAGGAGACCAGCCUCAUUGAAGAAAAGCGGCACAGCUGGACAUCAACGGCGCUGUGCUACAGGAGUGGGUUGCUGAGGGUGCAGCAGUGGCCUGGAGGUAUAUUAGUUUCUGAACAAAUAGAGCAAAAACUCAAACGGACAACCAGAAAAAGUUUAUUCAACCCACAAGCAUAUAUUUAUACCUUACGACUAGGCACCACCUUGCAUGUCUACGAUAAAGCAUCAUUAUCUAUUGUUAGGCAAAAACACAGUAUGUUCGUCUCACUGGUAGUGUCAUGACCUGCCUAAGUCUAGGACUCUCUUGGGCGUGGAAGUGUGUGUGUGUGUGUUAGUGUGUGUGUAACUGGCCUGCCUUAUCAGGAACUGAAACUAAACUGUUGCUAUUUGCCUCCUUCCUUAGAAAUAUUAAUACUCAGCAACAUGUUUGAACAGAAUAUUAACUUUCUGCACUUCCCCUUGUCUCAGUAUCUUUCCAUACAUAAACUUCGAAUUCACCAUUCAUUGACCACCAAAAAUGUACAAUUCUUAUACAAGUAAAGUAAUAACUAUGUUCUAAUAUGAUGACAGGAAAAAUUCUACUUCAAGCCAGAAUCCAACAGGUAGAAAAGUGAAUGUUUCUGUCUCUCAACUUCAUAAUUGAUWGAUGUKAGUGGAGUUAUGUUUGUAACKUGCCCUAUGUUUGACAGCCACACUUUAGGAUAGUCAGACAGGGCAUCUCCAGAAGWAGAUUGAGGGGCUUUACCUCAGUGUGAACCAGAGGAAACACUACCUGUACUGUUUGACAGUUCGUCCAAUCACCCCGUUGUAUUCAGACGGCAACAAGAGGAGGCAUCAGAUUCAGAGAGAAAUUGUUGAGCACAAGGCAGCCUUYACAGCAGGCAGAGCUGCUCAGUGGAUGAGCUGCUCAAUACUAACAACAUUGUGSGGCCAUGGGAGAGACUUGGCACCAGCAACAGCCAUCUCGCCAUCAAAAAGGCCAUCUUCGACAGACUGAUGUUGGUGAACAGACUGCAGGAGGAAGAAAGGAUCCUGGUGCAGGAGAUGAAGAGCCACUGGGAAGCCUACAAAGAGCAGCCGGGAACUCUGGAGGCACUGUCCCUACAGCUGCAAGAUCAGAGUAAUGCAGUGGAGGGAGGAAUGMCCUUCUCUGCKUCCUGAAGAGAAGAUUGAGUGAACUGACACAAGACCAAGGAAACACCAGGAACACCUACCAAAAGCUGGUCCUAUUGCUGAGAGCUCAGAUGACAACUGCUAUGCUUUCUGAAAUCAUUCACCACCCCUGCCUCUUUUUCACCUCCCUCGGGAGCAGCCUGGUCUCCUGACGUUGACCCCUGACCCCUCACCUUCUGAACCCAUCCAGAGAAAUAUAAUUUGCCUGAUGAUGCGCUAGUGGAGAAGCAAUGUCUUAUUUCACUGCAUUUGUUGCCAAGUUUCCUCACCUCCUCUCCUCCCGUUUCUUCCGGUCGUAGACUAUGGCGACAUCAUCAGCUUCUAAAAUAAGACAAUGACCCAACUCACCUCCAGGCUGUGUAAGGGCUACU